rnacentral:rRNA from 1 species
UCCGCAAAGGUGCUGCUCCACCCUAAGUCCAUCAAUGAGAUCGGUUGUUUGGACCCGGCCCACAGAGGGUGAUAGGCCCGUGGGGGUGGAGAUCAGGUAGGCCAGUGCCUUUAUGGAUAGACCUUGGAGUCGGGUUGUUUGUGAAUGCAGCCCAAAGUGGGUGGUAAACUCCAUCUAAGGCUAAAUACUUACACGAGUCCGAUAGCAAACAAGUACCGUGAGGGAAAGUUGAAAAGUACUUUGAAGAGAGAGUAAACAGUGCGUGAAGCCGAUCAGAGGUAAACGGGUGGAGUUGAACUGCGAGCUCUGUGAAUUCAGCUGGCGAGUUUGGUUGAGCUUGGUCAAAUCGGUCGUACACUGUAGUCUGUGUAGCAGCAGGCCUUUUCCCCUUUGGGGUUGAGGUGCGCGAUGCACUCAUCAUGUGAUGCGCGCUGCAGUGUUCGUCGGUCCGGCUCGCCAGUGCAUUUUUGCAGAGUGGUCACCACGACCGGCACUGCUGUCGUUCUGUUUUGGUUAAACCGGUUUCGCAUUGUCCUUGUGGCUCUGCUUGAUCGGGAUGGCAGGUAGCUCGUUGGUCAGCUUUCGCUGGUCUUCGAGUGUAAUCAGCUGACCUUGACAGUUCUGUGCAGUGUGUCGGGGACUGC